rnacentral:misc_RNA from 1 species
GUAAUUUUUGAGGAUUUAUGGUUCACUCAUUUUGGCGACUCGGAUCGCGCACCCUAGCGAAUUGGGACGCAAACAUCUUGCAAAUUAGGACGCACGAAUCAUAUCGUGGAGCUCAGGUGGUUGUAGUGAGUCUGGUAACUAUGGUCAUGUGAUUAUUCAAUAUGAGACAUAUCCCACGAGUUAAGGGAAAAUCUUAUCAAUUCCAACACUCUCCCCUUGAUG